rnacentral:lncRNA from 1 species
AGAACAUGUUACCUAAAGCAAUGACUAGAAGUAGGGACCUGCAAGACCAUGUGUUGAUGUCAAAGGGAACAGAAUGGAAAAACACACUGUCAGUCCUGCCAGAUGUAUCAUAUGGGUCUAACCACAAGCAAAAGACAAAGAGAUCCCAGGCUGAGGAUGUUUCUACUGGAUCAUAAUCUCCCAGAACACCAGGGUCAAGGAAAGGCGGG